GAUUUGUUAGCUCAGCUGGGAGAGCGUCUGGGUGACAACCAGAAGGUCGGCGGUUCGAGCCCGCCACAGAUCACCA
rnacentral:tRNA from 4 species